AUUGAACGCUGGCGGCAUGCCUUACACAUGCAAGUCGAACGGUAACAGGUCUUCGGAUGCUGACGAGUGGCGAACGGGUGAGUAAUACAUCGGAACGUGCCCGAUCGUGGGGGAUAACGAAGCGAAAGCUUUGCUAAUACCGCAUACGAUCUACGGAUGAAAGCGGGGGAUCUUCGGACCUCGCGCGGACGGAGCGGCCGAUGGCAGUUUAGGUAGUUGGUGGGAUAAAAGCUUACCAAGCCGACGAUCUGUAGCUGGUCUGAGAGGAUGAUCAGCCACACUGGGACUGAGACACGGCCCAGACUCCUACGGGAGGCAGCAGUGGGGAAUUUUGGACAAUGGGCGCAAGCCUGAUCCAGCCAUGCCGCGUGCAGGAUGAAGGCCUUCGGGUUGUAAACUGCUUUUGUACGGAACGAAAAGGUGCCUUCUAAUAAAGGGCGCUCAUGACGGUACCGUAAGAAUAAGCACCGGCUAACUACGUG
rnacentral:rRNA from 1 species